rnacentral:rRNA from 1 species
UACGGAGGAUGCAAGCGUUAUCCGGAAUGAUUGGGCGUAAAGCGUCCACAGGUGGCAAUGUAAGUCUGCUGUCAAAGCGUCUGGCUCAACCAGAUAAAGGCAGUGGAAACUACAUAGCUAGAGUAAGGUAGGGGUAGAGGGAAUUCCUGGUGUAGCGGUGAAAUGCGUAGAGAUCAGGAAGAACACCGGUGGCGAAAGCGCUCUGCUAGGCCGCAACUGACACUCAUGGACGAAAGCUAGGGGAGCGAAUGGG